rnacentral:rRNA from 1 species
GAUGAACGCUGGCGGCGUGCCUAAUACAUGCAAGUCGAGCGAACGGACGAGAAGCUUGCUUCUCUGAUGUUAGCGGCGGACGGGUGAGUAACACGUGGAUAACCUACCUAUAAGACUGGGAUAACUUCGGGAAACCGGAGCUAAUACCGGAUAAUAUUUUGAACCGCAUGGUUCAAAAGUGAAAGACGGUCUUGCUGUCACUUAUAGAUGGAUCCGCGCUGCAUUAGCUAGUUGGUAAGGUAACGGCUUACCAAGGCAACGAUGCAUAGCCGACCUGAGAGGGUGAUCGGCCACACUGGAACUGAGACACGGUCCAGACUCCUACGGGAGGCGGCAGUAGGGAAUCUUCCGCAAUGGGCGAAAGCCUGACGGAGCAACGCCGCGUGAGUGAUGAAGGUCUUCGGAUCGUAAAACUCUGUUAUUAGGGAAGAACAUAUGUGUAAGUAACUGUGCACAUCUUGACGGUACCUAAUCGGAAAGCCACGGCUAACUACGUG